AGCAAGGGCUCACCCCUAUACCUUCUGCAUAAUGAAUUAACUAGAAACAAUUUCACAAAGAGAACUAAAGCCAAAUUCCCCGAAACCAGACGAGCUACCCAAAAACAGCUAAAAGAGCGCACCCGUCUAUGUAGCAAAAUAGUGGGAAGAUUUAUGGGUAGAGGUGACAAACCUACUGAGCCUGGUGAUAGCUGGUUAUCGAAGAUAGAAUCUUAGUUCGACCUCAAGUUUACCUACAGAACCACUCAAUCCCGCUGUAAACUUAAUUGUUAGUCUAAAGAGGGACAGCUCUUUAGACAUUAGGAAAAAACCUUGUAUAGAGAGUAAAAACCCAAUCCCCAUAGUCGGCCCAAAAGCAGCCAUCAAUUAAGAAAGCGUUCAAGCUCAACACCAACCAUCUAAAAAAUUCCAAACAUACCACUGAACUCCUUAUAUCACAUUGGAUUAAUCUAUCACCUCAUAGAAGCAAUAAUGCUAGGUAGUAUAAGUAACAUGAGUAUUUUCUCCACCGCAUAAGCCUAAAUCAGAUCGAAAAACUUCGCCGAUACUUAACAGCCCAAUACUAAUAAAUACAAACAAGCCAGUAUUAUUUAUACUGUUUUUUUUUUUAUUAUACUUUAAGUUCUACUGUUAAUCCGACACAGGCAUGCUUUAAGGAAAGGUUUAAAAAAGUAAAAGGAACUCGGCAAAACUCAACCCCACCUGUUUACUAAAAACAUCACCUCUAGCAUUACUAGUAUUAGAGGCACUGCCUGCCCAGUGACACACGUUUAACGGCCACAGUACCCUGACCUUGCAAAGGUAGCAUAAUCACUUGUUCCUUAAAUGGGGACUCGCAUGAAUGGCACCAUGAGGGUUCAACUGUCUCUUACUUUCAACCAGUGAAAUUG
rnacentral:ncRNA from 1 species